UACAGAGGUCCCAAGCGUUGUUCGGAUUCACUGGGGCGUAAAGGGUGCGUAGGUGGUGAGGUAAGUCGGACGUGAAAUCCCCAGGCUCAACCUGGGAACUGCGUCCGAUACUGGAUGGCUUGAAUUCGGGAGAGGGAUGCAGAAUUCCACGUGUAGCAGUGAAAUGCGUAGAGAUGUGGAGGAACACCGAUGGCGAAGGCAGCCCCCUGGGUCAAGAUUGACGCUCAUGCACGAAAGCGUGGGGAGCAAACAGG
rnacentral:rRNA from 1 species